rnacentral:lncRNA from 10 species
CGCAGCCACCACCCCCCGAGGAGCCUGGAGCCCCGGCCCCGAGCCCCCCAGCCGCAGACAAAAGACCUCGGGGCCGGCCUCGCAAGGCGCUUCCCCUUUCCAGAGAGCCAGAAAGAACAAGAUUAAGAAAAUUGUGCAUUCAAUUAUAUCAUCCUUUGCAUUUGGACUAUUUGGAGUUUUCCUGGUCUUACUGGAUGUCACUCUCGUCCUUGCCGACCUAAUUUUCACUGACAGCAAACUUUAUAUUCCUUCGGAGUAUCGUUCUAUUUCUCUAGCUAUUGCCUUAUUUUUUCUCAUGGAUGUUCUUCUUCGAGUAUUUGUAGAAGGGUAAGUUUGAUUAUUUUUAUAAUGCAUUAAGCUAUUUUGUACUUUUAUAAGAAGCACUUUGGGAGGCUGAGGUGGGAGGAUCCCAAGGUCAGGAGUUCGAGACAAUCCUGGCCAACAUGGUGAAACCCCGUCUCUACUAAAAAUACAAAAAUUAGCUGGGUGUGGUGGUGGUUGCCUAUAAUCCCAGCUGCUUGGGAUGCUGAGGCAGGAGAAUCUUUUGAACCUGGGAGGCAGAAGUUGCAUUGAGCCGAGAUCAUGCCAUUGCACUCUAGCCUGGGUGACAGGGUGAGACUCCAUCUCC